UACGGAGGGUGCGAGCGUUAAUCGGAAUUACUGGGCGUAAAGCGCGCUUAGGCGGUUUGUUAAGGCGGAUGUGAAAUCCCCGGGCUCAACCUGGGAACUGCACCCGAUACUGGCCGACUUGAGUGCGAGAGAGGGAGGUAGAAUUCCACGUGUAGCGGUGAAAUGCGUAGAUAUGUGGAGGAAUACCGGUGGCGAAGGCGGCCUCCGGGCUCGACACUGACGUUGAGGUGCGAAAGCGUGGGGAGCAAACAGG
rnacentral:rRNA from 1 species